UUAACCUUAACAAAAGCUACUUCUCUUCGAUCAAAAUCUUCAUCUUCAUCUUUUUUUCUUUCAGCUUCUUAAACUUUCUUUAUCAAUUUAAAACAUGUGUAUUUGUUUCUUCUUAUGAGAACUCAAAGGAAACUGGAUUUUUCUAAUCAUAAGUCGAAUCUGAUUGAAAUUUUUGAGAAGGUCAAGAGCAUCUGGAAAUAUAGAAGGAGAUGACGUUGAUUCAAAAAUGGAAGAAGCAUAGAAGUCUAUUUUAUAUCAAUCGAUGGAAAAUUCUACAAUGAACAAGAAAUAAAGAAGAACUGAAGGAUCUCAAAUGUUGUUUAACUAUUGUAAUCAUUUUCUCUUUUAAAUUCAUCUUGUAUUUUCUUGUAGGCAUGUACUUUUUUCUUUUUAGUUAUAUUUUCAAUAGAAAUAUAAAAAUGUUAAAGAAAAAAUAUUUUCUUCAA